AAUACUUUAUCGAUAACACUGCUGUAGCUACACGGUACAACAUUAUCUGGUAUACAGGCAACACAACCCUGGGUCCCUAUAAAACAGACGCCGUCUCGCGCAAUUCUAACCAGUCUCAUUAGGCACUGCCCGCGGUAUAGACAUAUUUGGCAAAAUUAAUCGUAAUACUGAUUGUUGUUUGUGGUAAAAUAUUGCUAACGCCGAGGUAUCGAGUUCAGCGAAGGUGGGAGAUUACACAGUUCCUGUGGUGCGUCACCAAGAUGGCUGCCACAGUAGCAACGGGCCGGUGUAGCGAUUAUACUACAUUUGACGUGAUGGCAGUUGACGUGAGGAUAGUCGACAACUCGAGACUGCAAAAAAAAACCGGCGGCACCAGAUCGAGUGGAGUUAUUGUAGAUUAUUUAAAGAGUUUCUUGAUAGCGGGUUACAGCCACAAAAAUGCCAGAAAAUUAAGUAAACAAUUUGAAUGAAUAACAAUACGCUUUUAUUUACUGCUUUCAUGAGUCAA